GACGAACGCUGGCGGCGUGCUUAACACAUGCAAGUCGAACGCUGAAGCUUGGUGCUUGCACUGGGUGGAUGAGUGGCGCACGGGUGAGUAAUACGUGAGUAACCUGCCCUUGACUCUGGGAUAAGCCUGGGAAACUGGGUCUAAUACUGGAUAUGACAUGCCACUGCAUGGUGGUGUGUGGAAAUGGUUUUACUGGUUUUGGAUGGGCUCACGGCCUAUCAGCUUGUUGGUGGGGUAAUGGCCUACCAAGGCGACGACGGGUAGCCGGCCUGAGAGGGUGACCGGCCACACUGGGACUGAGACACGGCCCAGACUCCUACGGGAGGCAGCAGUGGGGAAUAUUGCACAAUGGGCGGAAGCCUGAUGCAGCGACGCCGCGUGAGGGAUGACGGCCUUCGGGUUGUAAACCUCUUUCAGCACGGAAGAAGCGAGAGUGACGGUACGUGCAGAAGAAGCGCCGGCUAACUACGUG
rnacentral:rRNA from 1 species